GAUGAACGCUAGCGGCAGGCUUAACACAUGCAAGUCGAGGGGUAAGUCAUUUCGGUGACUGAGACCGGCGCACGGGUGCGUAACGCGUAUGUAAUCUACCUUUUACAGGGGGAUAGCCCAGAGAAAUUUGGAUUAAUACCCCAUAGUAUUAUUGAAUGGCAUCAUUUAAUAAUUAAAGUUCCAACGGUAAAAGAUGAGCAUGCGUCCAUUAGCUAGAUGGUAAGGUGAGGGCUUACCAGGGCGACGAUGGGUAGGGGUCCUGAGAGGGAGAGCCCCAACACGGGUACUGAGACACGGACCAGACUCCUACGGGAGGCAGCAGUGAGGAUUAUUGGUCAAUGGGCGCAAGCCUGAACCAGCCAUGCCGCGUGCAGGAUGACGGUCCUAUGGAUUGUAAACUGCUUUUGUACGGGAAGAAACACUCCUACGUGUAGGAACUUGACGGUACCGUAAGAAUAAGGAUCGGCUAACUCCGUGCCAGCAGCCGCCGUAAAAC
rnacentral:rRNA from 1 species